CUGGCUGUGUGCCUAAUACAUGCAUGUCGAGCGAGGUUUUUUAAACCUAGCGGCGAAUGGGUGAGUAACACGUGCUUAAUCUACCCUUUAGAUUGGAAUACCCAAUGGAAACAUUGGCUAAUGCCGGAUACGCAUAAAAUCGCAUGAUUUUGUUGUGAAAGGAGCCUUUAAAGCUCCACUAGAGGAUGAGGGUGCGGAACAUUAGUUAGUUGGUAGGGUAAUGGCCUACCAAGACUAUGAUGUUUAGCCGGGUCGAGAGACUGAACGGCCACAUUGGGACUGAGAUACGGCCCAAACUCCUACGGGAGGCAGCAGUAGGGAAUAUUCCACAAUGAGCGAAAGCUUGAUGGAGCGACACAGCGUGCACGAUGAAGGUCUUCGGAUUGUAAAGUGCUGUUAUAGGGAAAGAAAACUUGGUUGAGGAAAUGCUUCCAAGCUGACGGUACCCUGUCAGAAAGCGAUGGCUAACUAUGUGCCAGCAGCCGCGGUAAUACAUAGGUCGCAAGCGUUAUCCGGAAUUAUUGGGCGUAAAGCGUUUGUAGGCUGUUUAUUAAGUCUGGAGUUAAAUCCCAGGGCUCAACCCUGGUUCGCUUUGGAUACUGGUAAACUAGAGUUGGAUAGAGGUAAGCGGAAUUCCAUGUGAAGCGGUGAAAUGCGUAGAUAUAUGGAAGAACACCAAAGGCGAAGGCAGCUUACUGGGUCUAUACUGACGCUGAGGGACGAAAGCGUGGGGAGCAAACAGGAUUAGAUACCCUGGUAGUCCACGCCGUAAACGAUGAUCAUUAGUCGGUGGAGAAUUCACUGACGCAGCUAACGCAUUAAAUGAUCCGCCUGAGUAGUAUGCUCGCAAGAGUGAAACUUAAAGGAAUUGACGGGGACCCGCACAAGCGGUGGAGCAUGUGGUUUAAUUUGAAGAUACGCGGAGAACCUUACCCACUCUUGACAUCCUUCGCAAAGCUAUAGAGAUAUAGUCGAGGUUAACGGAGUGACAGAUGGUGCAUGGUUGUCGUCAGCUCGUGUCGUGAGAUGUUUGGUCAAGUCCUGCAACGAGCGCAACCCCUAUCUUUAGUUACUAACGAGUCAUGUCGAGGACUCUAGAGAUACUGCCUGGGUAACUGGGAGGAAGGUGGGGAUGACGUCAAAUCAUCAUGCCUCUUACGAGUGGGGCAACACACGUGCUACAAUGGUCGGUACAAAGAGAAGCAAUAUGGCGACAUGGAGCAAAUCUCAAAAARCCGAUCUCAGUUCGGAUUGGAGUCUGCAAUUCGACUCCAUGAAGUCGGAAUCGCUAGUAAUCGCAGAUCAGCUACGCUGCGGUGAAUACGUUCUCGGGUCUUGUACACACCGCCCGUCACACCAUGGGAGCUGGUAAUACCCGAAGUCGGUUAGCUAACCUCGGAGGCGACCGCCUAAGGUAGGACUGGUGACUGGGGUGAAGUCGUAACAAGGUAUCCCUACGAGAAC
rnacentral:rRNA from 2 species